UACGUAGGGGGCUAGCGUUGUCCGGAUUUAUUGGGCGUAAAGAGCGUGUAGGCGGCCAAGUAGGUCCGGUGUGAAAAUUCGAGGCUCAACCUCGAACUUGCGGUGGGUACGGGCAGACUAGAGUGUGGUAGGGGAGACUGGAAUUCCUGGUGUAGCGGUGAAAUGCGCAGAUAUCAGGAGGAACACCGAUGGCGAAGGCAGGUCUCUGGGCCACUACUGACGCUGAGAAGCGAAAGCAUGGGGAGCGAACAGG
rnacentral:rRNA from 1 species